UUCCGUAGGGGGUACCUGCGGAGGGAUCAUUG
rnacentral:rRNA from 1 species